GAUGAACGCUGGCGGCGUGCCUAACACAUGCAAGUCAAGCGAAGCGCUUAAAUUAGAUUUCUUCGGAAUGACGAUUUUUGUGACUGAGCGGCGGACGGGUGAGUAACGCGUGGGUAACCUGCCUCAUACAGGGGGAUAACAGUUAGAAAUGACUGCUAAUACCGCAUAAGACCCCAGCUUCGCAUGAAGCGGUGGUAAAAACUCCGGUGGUAUGAGAUGGACCCGCGUCUGAUUAGCUAGUUGGUAAGGUAACGGCUUACCAAGGCGACGAUCAGUAGCCGACCUGAGAGGGUGACCGGCCACAGUGGGACUGAGACACGGCCCAGACUCCUACGGGAGGCAGCAGUGGGGAAUAUUGCACAAUGGGGGAAACCCUGAUGCAGCGACGCCGCGUGAAGGAUGAAGUAUUUCGGUAUGUAAACUUCUAUCAGCAGGGAAGAAAGUGACGGUACCUGACUAAGAAGCCCCGGCUAACUACGUA
rnacentral:rRNA from 1 species